GGUUCAAUGGUGUAGUUGGUUAUCACGUCUGUCUCACACUGAACCCAGUGCACAGGAGGUCUCCGGUUCGAACCCGGAUUGAACCA